UGCCAGCAGCCGCGGUAACACGUAGGAUCCAAGCGUUAUCCGGAUUUACUGGGCGUAAAGCGCGUGUAGGCGGCUUGGUAAGUUGGAUGUGAAAGCUCCCGGCCCAACCGGGAGACGUCGUUCAAUACUGCCAGGCUUGAGGACGGUAGAGGAAGGUGGAAUUCAGGGUGUAGUGGUGAAAUGCGUAGAUACCCUGAGGAACACCAGUGGCGAAGGCGGCCUUCUGGGCCGUUCCUGACGCUCAGACGCGAAAGCUAGGGUAGCGAACGGGAUUAGAUA
rnacentral:rRNA from 1 species